rnacentral:misc_RNA from 1 species
AAAACAGAAUCGAAUAGUAUACCGAGAUUACUUGGAGCCUACUUCAGUUUAAAAGUUGAGAAAGGUAAGUGUUAACUUUUUAAUUUAUCUCUAAUUAACUUUUCCCUCUUGGAGAAGGUGGAGAUCAUGCCGUGUCAGUUUAAGGUGGCUCACUACACCUUGAAAUAUUAUCCCAGAUCAGCAGAAAAUCACUUGAUUGUGAUAGAUAUUAUAAUGGACCAGCUCCACACAUCGGCUGACAAACAUCUAAAGCACGAACUCGACUUCAAAUGGCAAUAGAUCUCAACCUCGGAAAGCCAAACAAAUCUACAAGAUGUGAGAGUGGCGAGGAUGUGAUAUCCCUCUGUAGUGCAAUAACUGUGUAUGAACACUGUAAAUGUGGUGACCGAACGAGACAAUUAUGCAUUGACGGCAAAAUCAGUUUGCAUGUCAUUUGUAAAAGUAGGUGAAUGGGAAAAUUGAAUGUAAUAUUUUUACAAUUUUUAUACUCUACACUUUUAUGUGUUUGUCCAUUUUUCAGUAUUUUGUUUUAUGUCUAUUUUUUUUAUAAGAUUGAAUAAAAUUACGAAACAU